rnacentral:lncRNA from 1 species
GGAAGUGGCAUAGAUUCACCUUUAUUGAGUCAGGUUUUUUAAGGGUUCAUCUUUAUCUUUCUAAUAGUUUCCUUCAAAGUGUUGUAUUAAACUCAAUCAAUCUAGAAGGUCAAGGAAGGCAACCACCACUUGCAACCGCCCAGCCGCCAGCCACCAGCCACCAGCUGUAUGCCGCCAGCCGUCAGCCGCCAGCCGCCAGCCGCCUUCACACUUGAAGGUUGAAAUAUCUUGUUUUGAAUUCGUGUAUAAAUAGGUAGCUAAGUGGAUGCUAUUCUGUGUGGAAAGAAAAGAAAGAAACACUAGAGAGAAAGAAAGAGGGAGUGUAUUCAAAGCUUUUGUUUAAUCUUUGUAAGCCUUUUAUUGUUGAAAUAAAACAGUGUGUUUUAUACCCUCUGAGUGUUUCAAAGCCACCACCAGUGGUUUCUCCCACCAACAAUUGGUAUCAGAGCCCUGUUCGUCAGAAAACAGAAAAGUUUUGGGAUAUACCCGAAUUUUCAAAUUUGUCAAAAACAAGUUUUGAUCAUUCCACAGUGUAGAUCUCAUCCAUACGAACUCACUGGUGCAAAAAUCAGCGUCAUCGGAGCCCUCGGUGAUCCACAUGCACCGCCUGAAAUUCCGGUAAAUGUAGCCCAGUCGCACCCAGUCGCGCCAGAGGUUGAAGACGACUGAGCCACACGCACGCCAUAUUCGCGCCGAGCCGAGCCUCCAAACUGAUCCCGAGCCGAGCCGUGAGCCGUGCCGCAACAAGCCGCGCCGAGCCAAUAGAAUAUUCCGCAGAAUAUUCCCGGUUCAACCCCAGCGAACCGCCCGACGUCCAGAAUCGGUUUUCAGACCGGUUCAGCCCAUUUCUGACCCAUUUUCAACAAAGUCAGACCCGUUCCCUACUAUUUGGACCAUUUCGGAUCGAUCUAUAGUGUCCGUUUUGCCAAAUUCAACUCCCAAAGGAGAUAUAGUCAUUCAAGGAGCAAAAUGACUACAGAAAAUGCACAUACACUCAUCCCGAAGCUAACCAAAGACAACUAUGAUAGUUGGUGCAUCAGAUUGAAGGCAUUUCUUGGUUCACAAGAGUGUAUAGAGAUUGUGCAAUAUGGUUAUGAUGAACCAGAGUCCAAAGAAGCAGAAGAGACUCUACAAGAGGCAGAAAAACAAGUCCUCAAAGCAAAUAGAAAGAAGGACAACAAAGCAAAGACCAUCAUCUAUCAAGGUCUUGAUGAAGCAAUAUUUGAGAUCAUUGCUUCCGCAGAAACAUCAAAAGCAAUUUGGGAAGCUCUCCAACAAAAAUACAAAGGUGCUGACAUAAUCAAGAAGAUUCGUCUCCAAUCUUUGCGAGGUGAGUUUGAAUUAUUGCAAAUGAAGGCCUCAGAAUCUAUUUCUGACUAUCACACAAGAAUUAUGGUGAUAGUCAAUCAGAUGAGAAGAAAUGGAGAAGCCCUCAUAGAUGCUCGGAUUACUGAGAAAAUUUUGAGAUCCCUAGAUCCAAAAUUUGAUUUUGUUGUUGUCGCUAUUGAAGAGUCCAAAGAAGUGGACAAGUUGAUGGUGGAUGAGCUUAUGAGUUCUUCGCAAGCUCAUGAGCAAAAGAUUGUAAAAAGAAAUGGAGAUAAGGCAAUUGAGCAUGUCUUACAAGCAAAGUUGUCUCUCAAAGACAGAUAUGAGCAAGGGGAGACUUCAACAAGUGGAUAUACCACUCGAGGAAGAAGUCAACAAACACGAGGAGGAUUUCAGCGAUUUCAAGGAAGAGGAUCUUGGAAUACAAGCUUUAGAGGAAGAGGUGGUAGAAACACCACCAGUGGAGGUCGAGGACAACAAGCAUUCACUCCUAGAGGAAGAAGAGGCGGUUACAAUAACCGUGACAAGAGGAAUAUCCAGUGUUAUAAUUGCAAUCAAUUUGGGCACUAUAGCACUGAAUGUCAAGGGAAAGCUCCAUUAGAGGUACGUGAGCAUGCCAACUAUGCAGAGGAGGAUGCCAAUAGCAGAGGAGCAGCUGCAUUAUUUGUCCAACAAGGACUUGACAAGAAUCAAGAGAAUAUUUGGUAUCUUGAUUCUGGAGCCAGCAAUCACAUGUGUGGCCAACGAGAUCUAUUUGGCGAUCUAGAUGAGACCAUACAAGGUCUAGUCACCUUUGGAGAUUAAUUGCCUAUGUGAAAAUGUCCAAGAAUAAGAUGUUUCCUUUAAACAUCCAAUAUGAUGCAGCAAAGUGUUUGAGUGCCAUUACCAACAGUGAAGAGUGGCUUUGGCACCUAAGGCUUGGACAUCUGAAUUUCACAAGUCUGAAGAUGUUAGCAAGCAAGAAGAUGGUCAAAGGUAUGCCCCACAUUGAUCAUCCAGAUGAAGUCUGUGAGAGUUGUGUCCUCAGCAAACAUCACAGAUCUAGUUUUGCCAAAGAAGUCAACUGGAAAGCAAAGAGGCCACUGGAGUUAGUGCACACAGAUGUGUGUGGUCCCAUAAAGCCUAUGUCGACUGGACAAAAUAGGUACUUCCUCACUUUCAUUGAUGAUUUUAGCAGAAAGACGUGGAUAUACUUUCUGAAGAGGAAGUCAGAAGUGUUCAAUUGUUUUAAAGAUUUUAAAGCAAUUGUUGAGAAGCAAAGUGGCUAUAAGAUCAGAACCGUGAGAUUUGAUCAAGGUGGAGAAUAUACAGCAAAUGACUUUGAAGCCUUUUGUACACAACAAGGCAUCAGACAUCAGACAACACCAGCUUAUACACCACAGCUGAGUGGUGUAGCUGAGAGAAAGAAUCGAACGAUUCUUGACAUGGCAAGAAGUCUACUCAAAGCAAAGAAGCUGCCCAAACAAUACUGGGCUGAAGCUGUAUCAUGUGCAGUGUAUCUACUGAAUCGCUGCCCAACCAAAAGUUUGCAAGCUGUCACUCCACAAGAAGCAUGGAGUGGUCACAAACCAAGUGUUACUCAUCUUCGAGUCUUUGGUUGUGUGGCAUAUGCAAAGAUCCCAGAUGCAAGAAGGACCAAACUCGAUGAUAAAAGCGAGAAAUGCAUCUUUGUCGGAUAUGGUGAGAGAAGGAUGGGAUACAAGCUGUAUAAUCCCAUCACAAAGAAGGUAAUUAUGAGUAGAGAUGUUAUCUUUGAAGAAGAUAAAACUUGGCAAUGGAAGGAUGACCAAGAAGCAGUCAAAUGGAUCAACACUGAUUUGAUCCUUGAAGAUGAAGUGGAAGUACCACCAGUACUUGCAGAAGGUCCGAUAUUACCGGCAGAUGAGCCACAAAGUCCGGUACACAGAUUCCCUGUAUUCAACAGGAGAAACACACCAGAAUCAUCAUUAACACCAUCAUCAGCAUCCUCAUCAGAAGGAUCAAGAAGGAUGAGAAAUCUAGACGAGUUGUACGAUGCCACGCAAGUCAUGGAAGAUACAACUCUAUUUUGUUUCUUUGCAGAUAAUGACCCACUUAGCUUCAAUGAAGCUGUGACAGAAGAGAAGUGGAUAUAAGCAAUGGAUGAAGAAAUACAUGCCAUUGAAAAGAAUGAUACCUGGAAGCUGACUUAUCUACCAGAAAACAAGAAAGCAAUAGGUGUCAAAUGGGUCUACAAGACAAAGAAGAAUGCAAAAGGAGAAGUACAAAGAUACAAAGCAAGAUUAGUGGCAAAAGGCUACAAACAGAGAGAAGGCAUUGACUAUGGAGAAGUAUUUGCUCCAGUAGCCCGACUAGAGACAAUCAGACUGAUGAUCUCACUAGCUGCACAACAUAGAUGGAAGAUCUAUCAACUCGAUGUGAAGUCAGCAUUUCUGAAUGGCUUCCUAGAAGAAGAAAUCUAUGUUGAACAACCACUUGGAUACAUUGAAGCUGAAAAUGAAAGCAAAGUAUACAAGUUGAAGAAAGCCAUCUACGGUUUGAAGCAAGCUCCGCGUGCUUGGAAUACCAGAAUUGACAGGUAUUUUCAAGAAUAUGGAUUUGAAAAAUGUCCAUAUGAACACGCAAUAUAUGUGAAGAAAGAAGCAGAUGGCAGCAUAUUAUUUGCGUGCCUAUAUGUUGAUGAUUUGCUAUUCACCGGCAACAACCCUACCAUGUUUGAAGCCUUCAAGAAAAGCAUGGUACAAGAGUUUGAGAUGACAGACAUUGGUCUGAUGGCACACUUUCUUGGCUUAGAAGUGGUGCAGAAAGAAGAAGGGAUUUUUGUAUCCCAAAGCAGUUAUGCCAAAGACAUUCUUGAAAGGUUCAAGAUGGAAAGCUGCAAUCCGGUAUCAACUCCAGUUGAGAAUGGAGUAGAAUUGAGGAAGAGUAAAGUUGGAAAUGUUGAUCCAACUUACUUCAAAAGCUUAGUAGGAAGCUUAAGGUACUUGACAUGUACCAGACCGGAUAUACUCUACGGAGUUGGACUUAUCAGCAGAUACAUGGAGACACCAGACCAGUCUCAUUUGAAUGCAACCAAGAGAAUUCUUCGCUACAUCAAAGGCACAAUAAAUGAAGGUAUGUUUUAUACCUCAAGCAAAAACUUCAAUCUUGUUGGCUACUCGGAUAGUGAUUGGGGUAGAGAUCUGGAUGAAAGGAAAAGCACAACAGGGUUUGUCUUUUUUAUGGGAAAUACAUCUUUCACUUGGUCAUCCAAUAAGCAAUCGAUAGUAACGUUAUCAAGCUGUGAAGCUGAGUAUGUUGCUGCCAACUCAGCUGUAUGCCAUUUAAUAUGGUUAAGAAAUAUGCUGAAGCAUUUGGGAUUUCCUCAAGAAGAUCCCACAGAGAUUUAUAUUGAUAAUCGAUCAGCGAUUGCAUUAGCCAAGAACCCGGUGUAUCAUGAAAGAAGUAAACACAUUGAUACACGUCAUCACUUCAUCCGAGAACAUGUGAAGAACAAAGAAGUUGAAUUGAUAUCCUGCAACACAAAUGAUCAAAUUGCAGAUAUCUUUACAAAACCAUUGAAGGGAGAAAUAUUUACCAGAUUGAAGUUCAUGCUUGGCAUGACAUCCCUCGAUUGAGUUUAAAGGGGGGAUUUGUUGUAUUAAACUCAAUCAAUCUAGAAGGUCAAGGAAGGCAACCACCACUUGCAGCCACCAGAUGUCACCGCCCAACCACCACUUGCAACCGCCCAGCCGCCAGCCACCAGCUGUAUGCCGCCAGCCGCCUUCACACUUGAAGGUUGAAAUAUCUUGUUUUGAAUUUGUGUAUAAAUAGGUAGCUAAGUGGAUGUUAUUCUGUGUGGAAAGAGAAGAAAGAAACACUAGAGAGAAAGAAAGAGGGAGUGUAUUCAAAGCUUUUGUUUAAUCUUUGUAAGCCUUUUAUUGUUGAAAUAAAACAGUGUGUUUUAUACCCUCUGAGUGUUUCAAAGCCACCACCAGUGGUUUCUCCCACCAACACAAAGGAUUAUCCAGGACUCUCAUCUUGUUAAGACUUAUAGUCAUAUGCAUAAAUGUGUAUUAUGGUGGAAGGAAAAUAUACAUGGGAGAUGGUGACUGGGAAGUCUUUUUAUCUUUUUUAUUCUUCCAAGGAGCUUUAUUUUGGUGCUCUAAGUCGUAAUUCCUGGAAAAAGUUAAAGCUUAGGGGAUAGAUUGUACAGGAUAAACUCUCCCUUUUCUUUUGAUCCCGCCUGUCCAUUGGAAGUGAAGAGAGUUGUCAUGGUGUCCAGUGUUCAGGACCAUCAAGCGGGAUGCACUUGCUGGAGAAUGUUUCAGUCGGGCCUUACAUACAAAUUCUGUAAUGGGGUAUUCUGCUGUAACUGUAAUAAAUUGCGAAGGCAACGCAUAAGAAAUGUUCUGUUAGAUUAAGGGAACUGAAAGUCCUAAAUUAAAUGUAGUAAAUUUCUCUCGCACUUGCAGACAUUUCUUAAUAAUGGGGGAGGGGGGUUUAAGAGCCUAUGUUUCCCCUCCGUAACUUGUUUGCUCUAUGUUAGGCAUGUGCAUGUUUAAACAGAAAUUUGAACCUUCGACCUGGAGAUUUUACGUUUUUACCUAGCUGUAAGACCACAAAAGAAAGGACAAGUCUUGUCUUCCUAUAUAGUAACUUCUUUAAUGGGAAACCUCUCCUGGUAUACAAGGUUCCUGUCUUGACUGGCAACUCUUUCCAUCUUUUUCUCUGAUUAGAUUUUAUUUUGUGAAUUAUGAGGUAUUUGGAUUGACAUCCCUUUUUUCAGGUUUUGAUAAAUGAAUAAUAAUUUUCCUAAUAUGUAUUCGGAGUAGCAUUACUCAUUAAUUUUUACCAGUAUCAUGCAUCAACCAUUUUUAUGCUUUAUACAUGGGUCUAGGGGAUGCAUUUCCCCUCAAAAGUUGUCUGUAGUUUUCUGAAGAAUCAAUGGAAGUGGUCCUCCAUGGUUCAUGAGAUGAUACAGGAGGUCUAGGGGAUGCAUUUCCCCUCAAAAGUUGUCUGUUGUUUUCUGAAGAAUCAAUUGAAGUGGUCCUCCAUGGUUCCUGCUCAUCUCAAUCAAUGAGCUGUUAUUCAACUGAUUUUAAUUUCAUUUCCUCUUUUUUUUUUAUAUAUAUUUGUAUUAUUAUGUGAUUAAUUGUGUUUGAAAAUUUCCACUGCAGAACUUUUUACUUUAUUACAUUUCAAAAGAAAAGAAUAAAAACAUUUGUGGUCUCAAUAGAACUACUGCUCCAAAACACCAGAGAUUGUGGUCUCAAUAGCUCUGCUCCAAAACACCAGAGUCUCUCCACUAUUCUCUGUUGCUCCUAAUUUGCUAAAGCUAUGGCUGAUAAGCCCCAUGCAGUUCUUAUCCCACUUCCAUUUCAAAGCCGUAUAAAAUCUAUGCUAAAACUAGCCAAACUACUUCAUCACAGAGGUUUUCACAUAACCUUUGUCAAUACUGAAUAUAACCAUAUAUAGACGCUUACUUAAAUCUAGAGGUCCUAAUUCCCUCAACGGUUUGCUUGACUUUCGAUUUGAAAACAUUCCAGAUGGGCUCCCUCAUUUGGAUAUUGAUGCUUCCCAAGAUAUCCUUGCACUUUUUGAGGCUAUCAAGAACAACUCAAUGGCUCCAUUCAUGAGUGACCUACUUAACAAGCUCAAUGAGACAGCCACUUCUAAUGUGCCCCCAGUAACAUGCAUCGUGUCGGAUUUCUUGCUAUUCACUAUCGCAACUGCUGAAGAGCGAGGAAUACCUAUUGCACUAUUUCAAACUGCCUCUGCUUGUUGCUUCAUGUGCUUCAAACAACUUCGUCCACUCAAAGAAAAAGGUCUUGCACCAAUUAAAGGUAUGAAGGUCCACUGUUUAUCACCAUUUCGGGGUUGUUAAUAUCUGGAUUGCAAUUUAGUAACAAAAGAUAAAGCUAAAUGUAAUUUUGAAGAGAAUGAUAUCUUCUUGUUUUAUUUCAGAGUAAGUAGAAUUUAUAAUUUAUACUGAUGGUUUAACAUCAAGAUUCUAUAUUAUUGCCUGUGAUCAAGCCUAAUUAUCUAUGAAUAAGGAAACAAAUAAUUAAAGAUUCAAUUACAGUAUUUGACUAAACUUGAUUUCCUACACUGUGCUUGAUUUCCUUUAACACUUCCCCUCAAGUUGGAGUGUAUGUUAAUUACACCCAACUUGCUAAGUAAAGUCUCAAACUGUGUGGAGCUUAAAGGCAUAGUAAACAAGUUUGCUGGUUGGUGUGUAAUUUGAAUGUAGGCUGUCUGAAUCAUUCUUACUUGAAUUUUCUCACGUAUCAAAUAACAAUCUAUUUCUAUAUGCUUGGUUCGCUCAUGAAAGAUGGGAUUCGAUGAUAUAUGCAUUGCUGCUUGAUUAUCACAGAACAAAGUUACUGGUUAUGUGUGAUUUAUCUGUAAGUCCUUCAAAAUGUUUUUCAGCCAUGUAAUUUCGCAGCAUGUAGUAGCCAUGGAGCAAUAUUCAGCCUUUGCACUUGAACUUGAUAUUGUUGUCUGUUUCUUGGUUCUCCAAGAAACUAGUGCCUCUCCAAGUAAAAUGCAGUAACCAGUAACUGAUCUUCUCGUGUCCUUACAACGAGCCCAAUCAGCAUCACAAAAUGCUCGUAACUGAAGUGCACCUGUGGACAGCAACAGGAUGCCUUGCACAGGUGUUUGUUUGAUAUAUUUGAGCACUUUAUAAGCCGCGUCCAAAUGGGGUUGUCGGGGCUUGUCCAUGAAUUGACUUAAGAUAUGCACAACAUAAGUCAAAUCCGGUCUAGUUAUAGUCAGGUAGAGUAAUCUGCCAAUUAACCUCCUGUAUGUUGAUCCAUCCUCCAAAAGCUU